UACAGAGGUGGCAAGCGUUGUUCGGAAUUACUGGGCGUAAAGGGCGCGUAGGCGGUUCGUUAAGUCCUGUGUGAAAUCCCCCGGCUCAACUGGGGAACUGCACAGGAAACUAGCGGGCUUGAGUUCGGGAGAGGGAAGCGGAAUCCGGGUGACGCGGUGAAAUGCGCAGAUAUCAGGAGGAACAGCCGGUGGCGAAGGCGGGUCUCUGGGCAACAACUGACGCUGAGGAGCGAAAGCGUGGGGAGCGAACAGG
rnacentral:rRNA from 1 species